AGGUAGCAUCUAUUAUCUUUUAGGGUUCCAUCGCUCACGCACACUCUCCGGUAGAUCUCCCAAUUCUCCGACGGAAAAGUUUAUUCAUUUGGAUGCUUGAAGUUGGAAUUCGGGUGCUCUGAUGCAAAUGAUUCGUGUGCGUACCAGAAUGGCUCUUUCUGCUUGUGCGAUGUUAUAUCGUUCCUCAAUUUCAGGUCCAGUGCGACUGAUGACGACAGACACACAAAGUGUUGCUGCUAAGCUGAGCAGCUCUGGAUUGUUGCGGAGUCAGGCUCUUAUUGGAGGGAAAUGGGUUGAUGCAUAUGAUGGGAAGACUAUAAAGGUCCACAAUCCUGCAACAGGGGAGGUAAUAACAGAUGUGCCAUGCAUGGGAGGGAGGGAGACGAACGAUGCAAUUUCUUCUGCCUAUGAUGCAUUUAGUUCAUGGAGCAAACUUACUGCCGCUGAAAGGAGCAGAUAUUUAAGGAAGUGGUACGAUUUGAUAAUGGCCCAUAAAGAAGAACUUGGACAGCUUAUGACACUAGAGCAAGGGAAACCUCUAAAAGAGGCUAUUGGUGAAGUUAGUUAUGGGGCUGGUUUUAUUGAGUUCUCCGCUGAGGAGGGUAAACGUAUAUAUGGUGACAUCAUUCCAUCACCAUUAGCAGAUAGGCGGUUAUUUGUUUUAAAGCAACCAGUUGGUGUUGUUGGUGCAAUUACCCCAUGGAAUUUUCCCUUGGCUAUGAUUACCCGAAAGGUUGGCCCUGCUCUUGCUUGUGGUUGCACAGUGGUGAUUAAACCGUCUGAACUCACACCCUUGACUGCUUUAGCAGCAGCUGAACUCUCCAUUCAAGCUGGAAUACCACCGGGCGUAGUGAAUGUUGUUAUGGGAAAUGCACCUGAUAUUGGAGACGCACUGCUUGCAAGCCCACAGGUAAGAAAAAUUACAUUCACAGGUUCAACCAAGGUUGGGAAAAAAUUGAUGGAAGGUGCUGCUGCCACCGUUAAAAAGGUGUCUCUUGAGCUAGGCGGUAAUGCACCUUGCAUCAUCUUUGAUGACGCAGAUCUUGAAGUAGCUUUAAAAGGAGCUCUCGCAACAAAGUUCCGUAACACCGGACAAACAUGUGUAUGUGCGAACAGAAUACUUGUGCAAGAAGGGAUAUAUGAUAAAUUCGCAAAUGCUUUUGCUAAAGCUGUCCAAAACAUGAAAGUUGGAGAUGGUUUCACUGAAGGUGUAGAGCAAG
rnacentral:misc_RNA from 1 species